rnacentral:rRNA from 1 species
UACGUAGGGUGCGAGCGUUGUCCGGAAUUAUUGGGCGUAAAGAGCUCGUAGGCGGUGUGUCACGUCGGCCGUGAAAACCUGCAGCUUAACUGUGGGCGUGCGGUCGAUACGGGCAUCACUGGAGUUCGGCAGGGGAGACUGGAAUUCCUGAUGUAGCGGUGAAAUGCGCAGAUAUCAGGAGGAACACCGGUGGCGAAGGCGGGUCUCUGGGCCGAUACUGACGCUGAGGAGCGAAAGCAUGGGUAGCGAACAGG